rnacentral:rRNA from 1 species
UACAGGGGGGGCAAGCGUUGUUCGGAAUUACUGGGCGUAAAGGGUUCGUAGGUGGCCAACUUAGUCAGACGUGAAAUCCCUCAGCUUAACUGGGGAACUGCGUCUGAUACUGGAUGGCUUGAGUGCAGGAGAGGAACGCGGAAUUCCAGGUGUAGCGGUGAAAUGCGUAGAUAUCGGAAGGAACAUCAGUGGCGAAAGCGACUUCCUGGACCAAUACUGACGCUCAUGUGCGAAAGCGUGGGGAGCAAACAGG